rnacentral:rRNA from 1 species
UACAGAGGUCUCAAGCGUUGUUCGGAUUCAUUGGGCGUAAAGGGUGCGUAGGCGGCGCGGUAAGUCGGGUGUGAAAUCUCGGGGCUUAACUCCGAAACUGCAUUCGAUACUGCCGUGCUUGAGGACUGGAGAGGAGACGUGGAAUUUACGGUGUAGCGGUGAAAUUCGUAGAUAUUCGCAAGAACACCAGUGGCGGAAGGCGGAGCUCACUGGCCCGGUA